rnacentral:tRNA from 1 species
GGCGCUGGGGCUUAGUUGGUGAAAGUUCCUGUCUUGUAAACAGGAGAUCCUGGGUUCAAAUCCCAGCAGUGCCU